GAUGGGAGUGCGAAUCUCGAAAGCCUGUCUCAGUUCGGAUUGGAGGCUGAAACCCGCCUCCAUGAAGUUGGAUUCGCUAGUAAUCGCGCAUCAGCCAUGGCGCGGUGAAUACGUUCCCGGGCCUUGUACACACCGCCCGUCAAGCCAUGGAAGCUGGGGGUGCCUGAAGUUCGUGACCGGAAGGAGCGACCUAGGGCAAAAACCGGUGACUGGGGCUAAGUCGUAACAAGGUAAC
rnacentral:rRNA from 1 species